GGAGACAUAACAUGAAAAACCCACUUUUUUAUCCAUUAACACGGUGUGUUUCACAUUUUAAGUGUCUAAGUGAGCAAAAAGGCUUAUAUUAUUCACUGGAGUUGCUAUUUAGAUAUUUAAUAAUUAAGUUUUGGGCAUAUUUGUCCACCCGUUCAGUUUUUACAUAAUCUAUUACAUCAGUAAUUAAUUUAGUGAGGAUAACUACCAAAUAUGGUAAUGGCCCUCGGCUAAACACAGAGCCAAUCCGCCAUUUUUUCUUCUCGCUAAGAUUUUUUGUAGUCCUAUUGGAAAAAUGCAGAAUGUCUGGUUAUUUUAGCCACACACAGCUCAAAACUGUUCCUCGUUUUAAGGAAGGGUGGUGUGGCAGUAUUUAAACCCAGGAGCUGAUGACACUACUGCUAAAAAAACACAGAAGAAAAAGUAGUGUGUUUGCGUUUGUUUGUGUGUGUGUGUGUGCGUGCGCGCGCGCGCGCGUGGUUCGUUCGUUCUGUCUCCAGGCUAGUGGCUAAGUACUGAGGGCUUCAUCUAUCUAAAAGGAGUUAUUUCCAUCUGAAUUUGGCAGCACCGGGACACAGCAGCAGAGCGAGUCCACAUCCAGAACGCUGGAGCCGUGUUUCACUGACAGGCUGUCAGACUAACGCCCUGAUGAGCUCAGCUGGGACAAACUGGUCUGAUGUUUAGGAACACAGAACGUUCAGAUGUUGGCGUUUCACGUCACCUACUGAGGAAGGAGACCCACCAGUAAAGAGACGGUCUGGACCAGACCAAAAAUAUGACGAUGACAUCAUGGAACUGGUCUUUGGAAAAGUUUUCCCUGAACCAACUCCGUUUCUAGAUGAGGUAGAGAAGAUCUGCAUCUCACCAACUCUCUGGUCUCAGUAUUCAGACAACGGAGGUCUCCCACUGUUGUCCAGGACCAGUUUGAAGCCCACAUACUGCCCCUCCCUCAUCAUCAGGAAACAUCAAUCCGUAUCCUGAGGACAACAGAAGACGGCAGGAGGACAGGAACUCUGAGACCUAGACACCACCAGCACCGAGACACAAAGCACCUGUGUGCACAACGCCUGUUUAACUACUAAAGCCUGUUUAUUAUAUUGUUCUACUUAUUUGCUGUGAGGUUAAUACUUAGAAAAUUUGUAUAUUAAUGUAAACAAUAAAAAAAAUCACUGAUUGUAUGCUUUCUUUUAGAUGUAAUGAUCCAAACUCAGCCUUGUAGACAUUUAUUGCAUCCUGUAGGUAAAUACACAGAACAGGCUCAGGUCCAGGAUGACCCAGCAUGCUCUUCUUCCAUUCUGGCUGUUAGGGAUUUUAUCAAUAACUCAAUGCCUACUGAUGUUUUCACCUAACGGUAUUUAUUUAGAAUGCAGGUAAGAUUUAACUAUAUUUGUUAGCAAAGCAAACUGAUCUUGGGAAUUUCACUGCAGCACUGAUGUCCACCUCCCUGUACACAUUAGAGAGAAUUACCACUUUACAGCUAAACACAUUUAAUAAAGAUAUAGGCUACGCAUUGCAGACAAUAAAAACAAAGUUGUAAGCAUUAGAAUUAUAAUGAUGACAUUAAAGAACACUUGGAGGAAUGUUCUUUAUUUUUGACUAGAAUCUCAAAUCUUUAAAUUAAAAUGUAACUGCUUUUUAUCCAUUUUCAGCCAUUAAGACACCCAAUAUAAAAUAAGACUACUUAUAAAAUUAUUUAUAAUUAUAUGUAUGUAUAUAGAUAGAGAUCUUAAUAAAAUAUAUUCUUUGAA